GACGAACGCUGGCGGCGUGCCUAACACAUGCAAGUCGAGCGAUGAAACCCUUCGGGGUGGAUUAGCGGCGGACGGGUGAGUAACACGUGGGUAACCUGCCUCAAAGAGGGGGAUAGCCUCCCGAAAGGGAGAUUAAUACCGCAUAACAUUAUUUCUUCGCAUGAAGAGAUAAUCAAAGGAGUAAUCCGCUUUGAGAUGGACCCGCGGCGCAUUAGCUAGUUGGUGAGGUAAUGGCUCACCAAGGCGACGAUGCGUAGCCGACCUGAGAGGGUGAUCGGCCACAUUGGAACUGAGAUACGGUCCAGACUCCUACGGGAGGCAGCAGUGGGGAAUAUUGCGCAAUGGGGGAAACCCUGACGCAGCAACGCCGCGUGGGUGAAGAAGGCCUUCGGGUUGUAAAGCUCUGUCUUCUGGGACGAUAAUGACGGUACCAGAGGAGGAAGCCACGGCUAACUACGUGCCAGCAGCCGCAGUAACAC
rnacentral:rRNA from 1 species